rnacentral:misc_RNA from 1 species
AAGGAUCAUUACAGAGUUCAUGCCCUUCGGGGUAGAUCUCCCACCCUUGUGUAUCAUUAUAGAAUGUUGCUUUGGCGGGCCGCGCCUAGUGUGCCUGGAUUCGCGUUCAGCGUGCCCGCCAGAGGACCCCUAAACUCUGAAUGUUAGUGUCGUCUGAGUACUAUUAAACAGUUAAAACUUUCAACAACGGAUCUCUUGGUUCUGGCAUCGAUGAAGAACGCAGCGAAAUGCGAUAAGUAAUGUGAAUUGCAGAAUUCAGUGAAUCAUCGAAUCUUUGAACGCACAUUGCGCCCCCUGGUAUUCCGGGGGGCAUGCCUGUUCGAGCGUCAUUUAUACCAAUCUAGCCCGGCUAGGUGUUGGGCUCCGCCGUUUGGCGGGCCUUAAAACCAGUGGCGGUGCUCUUAGGCUCUACGCGUAGUAAUUUUCUCGCUAUAGGGUCCUGGGAGAUGCUUGCCAGCAACCCCAAAUUUUUCUAGGUUGACCUCGGAUCAGGUAGGGAUACCCGCUGAACUUAA